CUGCUGAUAAAUCCAAAAGAAUUAUAAGCAGGAAAAUGACAAAAUGACAUCAUCCAAUUUGCAUUCUUAAAAAGACUACUCUGGGCCACUUUUUUUGCUGCGUCUACUGUGAGAAUGGAGACGAUUCUCAGCAAUCAGACUGUCGACAUUCCAGAAAAUGUCGACAUUACUCUGAAGGGACGCACAGUUAUCGUGAAGGGCCCCAGAGGAACCCUGCGGAGGGACUUCAAUCACAUCAACGUAGAACUCAGACUUCUUGGAAAGAAAAAAAAGAGGCUCCGGGUUGACAAAUGGUGGUGUAACAGAAAGGAACUGGCUACCGUUCGGACUAUUUGUAGUCAUGUACAGAACAUGAUCAAGGGUGUGGGCUUCCAUUACAAGAUGAGGUCUGUGUAUGCUCACUUCCCCGUCGUUAUCCAGGAGAAUGGGUCUCUUGUUGAAAUCCGAAAUUUCUUGGGUGAAAAAUACAUCCGCAGGGUUCAGAUGAGACCAGGUGUUGCCUGUUCAGUACCUCAAGCCCAGAAAGAUGAAUUAAUCCUUGAAGGAAGUGACACUGCGCUUGGUUCAAACUCAGCAGCUUUGAUUCAGCAAGCCACAACAGUUAAAAACAAGGAUAUCGGGAAAUUUUUGGAUGGUAUCUAUGUCUCUGAAAAAGGAACUGUUCAGCAGUCUGAUGAAUAACAUCUAAGAGUUAUCCAGCUACAGAAAGAAGAUGCCAGAUGACUCCUAAGACCUACUUGUGAUAUUUAAAUGAUGCAAUAAAAGACCUAUUGAUUUGGACCUUC